rnacentral:rRNA from 1 species
UACGUAGGGGGGCUAGCGUUGUCCGGAUUUAUUGGGCGUAAAGAGCGUGUAGGCGGCCAGAUAGGUCUGCUGUGAAAACUCGAGGCUCAACCUCGAGAUGUCGGCGGAAACCAUUUGGCUAGAGUCCGGAAGAGGAAAAGUGGAAUUCCUGGUGUAGCGGUGAAAUGCGCAGAUAUCGGGAGGAACACCAGUGGCGAAGGCGACUACCCUGGCCUGUUCUUGACGCUGAGGCGCGAAAGCUAGGGAGCAACGGGG